rnacentral:rRNA from 1 species
UUCCGGUUGAUCCUGCCGGAGGACAUUGCUAUUGGGAUUCGAUUUAGCCAUGCUAGUCGAACGAGUUCACACUCGUGGCACAUAGCUCAGUAACACGUGGCCAAGCUACCCUUCAGUCAGCAAUACCCUCGGGAAACUGAGGCUAAUAGCUGAUACGAAACAGACGCUGGAAUGCACUGUAUUCCAAAGACACCGCUGAAGGAUGCGGCUGCGGCCGAUUAGGUAGACGGUGGGGUAACGGCCCACCGUGCCAGUAAUCGGUACGGGUGGUGAGAGUCAGAGCCCGGAGACGGAAUCUGAGACAAGAUUCCGGGCCCUACGGGGCGCAGCAGGCGCGAAACCUUUACACUGCACGAAAGUGCGAUAGGGGAAUCCCAAGUGCGAGGGCAUAUUAGCCCUCGCUUUUGUUGACUCUAAGGCGGUCAACGAAUAAGAGCUGGGCAAGACCGGUGCCAGCCGCCGCGGUAAUACCGGCAGCUCAAGUGAUGUCCCAUAUUAUUGGGCCUAAAGCGUCCGUAGCUGGCCGCGCAAGUCCGUCGGGAAAUCCACCUGCCCAACAGGUGGGCGUCCGGCGGAAACUGUGUGGCUUGGAACCGGAAGGCUCAGAGAGUACGUCCGGGGUAGGAGUGAAAUCCCGUAAUCCCGGACGGACUACCGAUGGCGAAAGCACUCUGAGAAGACGGCUUCGACAGUGAGGGACGAAAGCUCGGGUCUCAAACCGGAUUAGAUACCCGGGUAGUC